GUAACAGUUAGAAAUGACUGCUAAUACCGCAUAAGCGCACAGUACCGCAUGGUAGUGUGUGAAAAACUCCGGUGGUAUAAGAUGGACCCGCGUCUGAUUAGCCAGUCGGCGGGGUAACGGCCCACCAAAGCGACGAUCAGUAGCCGACCUGAGAGGGUGACCGGCCACAUUGGGACUGAGACACGGCCCAAACUCCUACGGAAGGCAGCAG
rnacentral:rRNA from 1 species